rnacentral:rRNA from 1 species
UACGUAGGGUGCGAGCGUUAAUCGGAAUUACUGGGCGUAAAGGGUGCGCAGGCGGUCUCGUAAGCUGGGUGUGAAAGCCCCGGGCUUAACCUGGGAAUGGCAUUCAGGACUGCGAGGCUUUGAGUGUGGCAGAGGGAGGUGGAAUUCCACGUGUAGCAGUGAAAUGCGUAGAGAUGUGGAGGAACACCGAUGGCGAAGGCAGCCUCCUGGGCCAGCACUGACGCUCAUGCACGAAAGCGUGGGGAGCGAACAGG